GCAUGUGAAGGCAAUCGGGCUGUGAUAUCUGUCACCCCAUUGGUGUGAUUUAGCUGGCUAGACGUGUAUCCCUUUUAUUCUACAUGGUCCCAUGUGCAUCCCUUCCUCAGCUUCCUGCUUGUUCAAAGAGGACAGUCUUCCCAACAGAGGAGGACUGUUUGGACAAAGGUGUCCU
rnacentral:snRNA from 1 species